rnacentral:rRNA from 1 species
UGCAGUCGAGCGAAUGGAUUAAGAGCUUGCUCUUAUGAAGUUAGCGGCGGACGGGUGAGUAACACGUGGGUAACCUGCCCAUAAGACUGGGAUAACUCCGGGAAACCGGGGCUAAUACCGGAUAACAUUUUGAACYGCAUGGUUCGAAAUUGAAAGGCGGCUUCGGCUGUCACUUAUGGAUGGACCCGCGUCGCAUUAGCUAGUUGGUGAGGUAACGGCUCACCAAGGCAACGAUGCGUAGCCGACCUGAGAGGGUGAUCGGCCACACUGGGACUGAGACACGGCCCAGACUCCUACGGGAGGCAGCAGUAGGGAAUCUUCCGCAAUGGACGAAAGUCUGACGGAGCAACGCCGCGUGAGUGAUGAAGGCUUUCGGGUCGUAAAACUCUGUUGUUAGGGAAGAACAAGUGCUAGUUGAAUAAGCUGGCACCUUGACGGUACCUAACCAGAAAGCCACGGMUAACUACGUGCCAGCAGCCGCGGYAAUACKUAGGUGGCAAGYGUUAUCCGGAAUUAUUGGGCGUAAAGCGCGCGCAGGUGGUUUCUUAAGUCUGAUGUGA